rnacentral:lncRNA from 1 species
AAAUAAUGUUAUAAUCCAUGCCAGGGACUGACAGAAGACUUGAGAAAGGAUCUUUAAUCCUUAUCAGCUGAGGUCACAGCGUGCCUUUUUAACCCUUCCUCCCGGACCCUUGGAAUCAAGCUCUUACUAGAUUGAAUGACACUGCUGGUGCUAAUGCCGGGCACAGCUGAAGUAGCAGCAUCACAGCAUCUGAACCAUGACUGAUUCUCAGCUUUACAGAGUGGCCAGGACUAGUUAAACAGAAUCAAAGAACAGUCCUGCUGGUGGCUCUGGGCUUUGUUCACCCUCUGGCUGCCCACUGGGAAUUCUCAAUGAUGCGUGCGGAAGACAAGUGUGUUGACAGUUUCCAAUUAAAAUAAAUUUGACACAGUUGAUUUACAAGUCCAUUGGAAAAAUUCUGAGAUGUGGAAAGGAAAACUUAGCUUUAAAACCUGUGUGCCAUUGUGAGUUACUUGAUCCUGUAACUCCCAACGCCUUCUCUUUAUAAAUCCAAGCUUGGAUAAAAGUACUGGGAACUUCUCUGCUAAAAAGUCCCUGACUUAGCACUAUUUACAUAAGGCCAUAACUUUAGUAGCAUUGUGGAGCAGGGGCCUGUUCUGCUUUGUUUUUCUUUAAUUCCUGGUGCUCCUUUAUCACCUCUAAUCUCUAAUGUGUCUGUUUGCAAUUUGGGGGUCAGACUCUAUUAUAACCUUUUCUUUUCUG